GACGAACGCUGGCGGCGUGCUUAACACAUGCAAGUCGAGCGAUGAAACACCUUCGGGUGCGGAUUAGCGGCGAACGGGUGAGGAACACGUGAGGAAUCUGCCUUCCACUCUGGGAUAACUCCGGGAAACCGGGGCUAAUACCGGAUACUUUCAACUGGCGGCAUCGCCGGUUGAAGAAAGUUUUUCGGUGGAAGAUGACCUCGCGGCCUAUCAGCUUGUUGGUGAGGUAAGGGCUCACCAAGGCGACGACGGGUAGCCGGCCUGAGAGGGCGACCGGCCACACUGGGACUGAGACACGGCCCAGACUCCUACGGUAGGCAGCAGUGGGGAAUAUUGGGCAAUGGAGGAAACUCUGACCCAGCGACGCCGCGUGAGGGAUGAAGGCCUUCGGGUUGUAAACCUCUUUCAGCAGGGAAUAAGCGAAAGUGAAGGUACCUGCAGAAGAAGCACCGGCUAACUAUGUGCCAGCAGCCGCGGUAA
rnacentral:rRNA from 1 species